rnacentral:lncRNA from 1 species
GAGCCAAAACGUUUUAUUUGCAUGCUGCUUCCAGUGCAGAUGAACAGGUUUUCGAUGGUGUGUGCAAGGCACGAGGCUCCCAGGAAAGAUGUGGAUCUCCCGCUCCCUCUCAUGGGACAGGGCUAAUAACCGCCUUUCAAAUUGAACCCUUUCUGCCUUGAGGAGGCCCGGAACCCUCACAGGAUUCAGUUCACAGAUCAAAUGAUUUUCUGGGUAUGGUAUUUCUGGUGGUUCAAUUUCAGAUGUGUGUAAUCUGGCUGCCAACGUAGGAUUAGGCUUUUUGGCUUGUGGAGUUGACACUCCUCACUGAGCUUUAGCGAAAUGAUGAAAGAAUUUUGAAUUCUGUUCACACAGGUAAAUAAACUGAAGGAAAAGCCUUUCACAAAAGGGAGCCAAACACAUCUUCUAAGACAUAGGAGCUGCACAGAAAGUCCUAGGCAAGAAACUUGAUUUUUUUCCUCUUCUCGGCAGUAUGCAAUAUUCACAGUGACUUCCAUUUAUUCCCAACAAGAGCGCUGGAAAUCAAGUUUUUCUAUUUGUUGAGCCUCUCUUCUGUGGCAAGCUUGUGCUAUGUGUUUUUCCUAAAGGUUCUAGUCACAUUGUUAGAAGCAGCUUCCAAGGUAAUCAUUUCUCAUGAGGAAACAGGCUCAGGUUAACUUGCCAUCGUUGCACAGCACACAAGUUGCAUGGCUGGGAUUCGGUUCCACCGCCUGCCUUGCAUACUGGGUGUUAUUAGCCCUUCUUCACAGGUGAGGAAACCAGAGCUCACAGAGCGUGGAUGUGUUGAGACCGGUGCUUGACCCAAUUCAUCGGACUAGCACUGGAGGUGUCCUCCUCUUCCUGCCCUGCCAUGAUACCGCACUGCCUCCUGAGUCUGUUCCCCUGUGCUCUUGAAGCUACGGUAGACAGCAUUUAUUCCCUUCCUGUUCUUCAUGUUCCUUGUCUGAGACAGCACCACACUAAGUCCCUCUGAAUCUGACUGCAAAACCUGAAGUGGGUCUAAAAUGGACCAUGCUCCAGUGCUCAGCUUUUUCAAGACGUCUGUAUUUCUGGUUAUAGCUAAUGUUAUAGCUCCAUCCAAACCUGGUGGGUGCUGUAGUUUACUGAGUACUAUGAGUGCUUUAUUUCAUAGGCUUUACUACCUUCUCUCUAACUCAGGGGUUACAGGUCAGUAAGAGUCCCCUCAAAAGACAAGGGCUGGCCGGGCGUGGUGGCUCACGCCUGUAAUCCCAGCACUUUGGGAGGCCGAAGUGGGUGGGUCACGAGGUCAGGAGUUCGAGACCAGCCUGGCCAAUAUGGUGAAACCCCCGUCUCUACUAAGAAUAAACAAUUAGCUGGGCGUGGUGGCGUGUGCCUGUAAUCCCAGCUACUCGGGAGGCUGAGGCAGGAGAAUCGCUUGGGCCCGGGAGGCGGAGGUUGCAGUGGACCAAGAUCGCACCACUGCACUCCAGCCUGGGCAACAGAGCAAGACUCCAUCUCAAAAAAAAAAACCAAAAAAAAAAACAACAAAAAAAACCAGACAAGGGCCCAGGGAUACCGUUAAGUCAUUUCUAAGAUGGGUACUUUAUCCUCUGGUAGAGGGCUCCUUAGAGCGAGGUUGUGAUGAGGAGGCAGUCAAGCCCCCGAGUUGAUCAAUCCCUUCAGGCGAGUUGUUCUUUGAUCAUGGCCAUCCAGUCCAAGCACACUGAAACGGCACACAUUUGUGUGCUACUCAAACGGAGAGGGUCUCUGGUUUUCAUCAAAUUCUCAAAGGGGGUCAUGGCCCUCCAAAUCUUUAGGAACCAUGGAUUCUAGUCCAAGUUCUUCGUCAAAUAGGUAGAAUCUGAGAUGCAGCAUAAGGCUUGCAAGGACUUGCCCAUCAUCAACACAGCAAGUAGCUGCAGAGCCAAACUUGAACUCAGGUCUCUUAAUUCCCAGAAUAGCACACAGUGGAAACACCUCAUCAAACAUUUUGAGUGCCUGCUAUAUUCCAGACCCUAGGCUGGUGCUGCUGAGGUAACGAUAGUCAUCAUGCAAAAUCGGGAGUCAGCUGUGACAGUACUUUACAACAACUUUCAUGUUGCUUUUACGUUAUGGCCCAGGCAAUAUUCGCAGGGUACUCCACCAUAAAAAGAUGAGGCUGCUUGCAUCCAGAGGAGCCUGGCCUGCCUGGCCACUCUGAAGGCCCCAAAGACUCACCAUUGGGCACCCCUAUAAACCAUUCUCAACAGACAGGGACGCUUUAAGCGAUGGCCUUCCCAUGGUAGGGAAAGUUCUCCCCUACCAUCUUCGUGCCUUUCGUCUCCUGCCACAACAAAAAGGCUUACACGUUUCAACACCGUCUCUCAUCUCCCAGGUACCUGGCAGCCAGAAUUCCUACUCUUCCUCAAAAAUUCAGUGCUUGACUCUAUGUUCCCACGAUCUAAGCUCCAAAUUCCUCCUCCACUCCACCUCACUACCCACUAAUGCUUAUCCUUAACAGCACCUAAAGCUUCUCCAACUUUAAAUCCUCCUUUUCGUUUCUGACACUCUUAUUCUGUUCUCAGAUUCUUCUUUUUAAAUUUCUUUUCUUUUUCUUAUUUAAUUUUAGAGACAGAGUCUUGCUCUGUCACCCAGGCUGCAGUGCAGCGGCAGGAUAGAGCUCACUGCAGUCCCAAACUCCUGGACUCAAGCAAUUCUCCAGCCUCAGCCUCAGCCUCCCAAGUAGCGACAACUAAAAGCCUGCACCACCAGGUAUAGCUAAUUCAGAUCCUUCCUUCCAACCUUUUGUCUCUUACUCCUGGCUGUCCUCCAAGGCCACCACUUUCCCUGCAAUCCUGAACUAUUGAUGCAUUCUUUUGAUUCUCCCUUGAGUAAAAGUCUUUUUUGAAAGGUCUCAUGCUGGGCCGGGCAUGGUGGCUCAUGCUUGUAAUUUCAGUACUUUGCGAGGUUGGGGUGGGAGGACUGCUUGAGACUAGGAGUUCAAGACCAACCUGGCCAACAGAGACUCCAUCUCUGAAAAAAAAAAAAAACAAAAAACAAGAAAGGUCUCAUGCUAUUCAGCUAUGUUACUGUUUAGCCCUCCAUUUUGCAAUUGUCUUAACUAAUCGUAUAGUCCUCCCCACAUUCACCAAAGAUUUUAGCUCCUGAUGCUCCUUUCCUUUCCUACCUCUAAAUCCCAACAUCUAAUUUUCCUGCCUUCUCACUUCCACUUCAGCCACUCUAUUCCGUGGCUCUGUCCUG